CGCCGUUUCCCACGUAAACUGGGGCCAGCCGCCAUUUUAGAGCCAGCCAGAGUCGCCCGCUCGCCCGCCCGGGGCCAGCCCGAAGCUGCGGCCGCCCGGCCCGCCAGGGAGACUCGUCGCUGCCCCUGGCUACGCCGAGGCCUCCAGGCACGUGCUGGCCACGGGCAUUUUCCAGCCCCGGGCCCCGGACCACGAGGCCCGCACCGGGCCCGACCCCCAAGAGCCAAACCGGGGCCCAACUGACGAGGCGACGGGAGGAGGCGGCGGUGCUCGCCGGCCCCCUCCUGCCGGAGCCUCCAGCACCCCAGGGGAAGGUGAAAGUCACGGCGGGGGCUGGGGGUCUGCCCCGAGGCCAAGGGGGCUCCGGAAGGGCCUCCCCAGGCACGAUGUCUGUUCACACGCGGGGCCGCGUCUGAGCGCGCUCCCGAGCAAGAGUUCCCAUCUCCGAAGCAGCGACUCCCCACUAAUCAAUGAUCCUCCAUUUACGAGGCCCCGAGCAGCUCGGCGAGGCUGCUUCCAUUUCCUGAUCCGAGCUGCUCAUGUGCGAGCAACCGACUCUGUUUUUCCCAUGGUGACUCACUAAUCAGGACGCUCCACAAUUUUCCUACACUCAUGAAACCCAAACAGUGGCAGAAGGGAUUUAGAGAACGAGUCUGGAAAGGGAGGGGGAAGUGAAUGGCCUUGAAAAUAGGGACUAUCAAGAUCUCUUCCAGACAAUUUGGAAUUUUUCAUCAAUUGUUCCUGACUAAAAUAGCUUGGCAAUGCAAAUCACAAAUCUUAUCCCGGGCUCCCAAUCUCCAACCACUUACGGUACCUGUCUCUGUCACAAAGAAAAGGGAUGUUAAAAUGCCACCUGACACAUGAAACGUGCAUUAGAAGCAAACUUCAUAUGUUUAACAAAUAAAACUCUUUGGAGAGCGGAUUACAUCUUCUCAUCAGAGCCAAGCAUUCCUUAACCAUUUAAGGUAAAAGGUUCCCAACCGUCCAGCAGCUUGGUCCAUUCUCGGAUUCCCAGUUCCAAGGUUUCUCUCAGCA